rnacentral:rRNA from 1 species
GAUGAACGCUGGCGGCGUGCCUAAUACAUGCAAGUCGAGCGAACAGACGAGGAGCUUGCUCCUCUGACGUUAGCGGCGGACGGGUGAGUAACGCGUGGAUAACCUACCUAUAAGACUGGGAUAACUUCGGGAAACCGGAGCUAAUACCGGAUAAUAUAUUGAACCGCAUGGUUCAAUAGUGAAAGACGGUUUUGCUGUCACUUAUAGAUGGAUCCGCGCCGCAUUAGCUAGUUGGUAAGGUAACGGCUUACCAAGGCAACGAUGCGUAGCCGACCUGAGAGGGUGAUCGGCCACACUGGAACUGAGACACGGUCUAGACUCCUACGGGAGGCAGCAGUAGGGAAUCUUCCGCAAUGGGCGAAAGCCUGACGGAGCAACGCCGCGUGAGUGAUGAAGGUCUUCGGAUCGUAAAACUCUGUUAUUAGGGAAGAACAAAUGUGUAAGUAACUAUGCACGUCUUGACGGUACCUAAUCAGAAAGCCACGGCUAACUACGUG